ensembl:snRNA U6 U6 spliceosomal RNA
GUGCUUGUUUCAAUAGCACAUAUACUAAAAUUGGAAUAAUAAAGAGAAGAUUAUUUGGCCCCUGUACAAGGAUAACAUGCAAAUUUGUGAAGCAUUCAGUAUUAAA